UACAGAGGUCUCAAGCGUUGUUCGGAUUCAUUGGGCGUAAGGGUGCGUAGGCGGCGCGGUAAGUCGGGUGUGAAAUCUCGGAGCUUAACUCCGAAACUGCAUUCGAUACUGCCGUGCUUGAGGACUGGAGAGGAGACUGGAAUUUACGGUGUAGCGGUGAAAUGCGUAGAUAUCGUAAGGAAGACCAGUGGCGAAGGCGGGUCUCUGGACAGUUCCUGACGCUGAGGCACGAAAGCGUGGGGGAGCAAACAGG
rnacentral:rRNA from 1 species